ACCCGCUGAAUUUAAGCAUAUCAAUAAGCGGAGGAAAAGAAACCAACAGGGAUUCCCUCAGUAGCGGCGAGUGAAGAGGGAAGAGCUCAAGCCGAAAAUCUCCGGCGGCGACGUCGGCGAAUUGUAGUUUGGAGAAGUGUUUUCAACGCGUGGCCGUGCCGGUCAAAGUUGCUUGGAACGGCACGUCGCGGAGGGUGAGAAUCCCGUUUGCGACCGGUCGGCCUGCGCCACGAAGCACUUUCGGAGAGUCGGGUUGUUUGGGAAUGCAGCCCAAAGCGGGUGGUAAACUCCAUCUAAAGCUAAAUAUGAGCGCGAGACCGAUAGCGAAAAAGUACCGUGAGGGAAAGAUGAAAAGCACUUUGAAAAGAGAGUUAAAGAGUACGUGAAACCGUUGAAGGGGAAACGAAUGCGACCAGCAAAGCACCCGUUGCAGAUUCAGCCGCGUCGGACGGCGUCGGUCGGCGUGCGGAUUCUUGUGAACCGCCGUCGGCCAGGCGGUUGUCGGACGCGUCGCAAUUCUGCCCGGUGCGAGCCAACGUCGGUUGACAGUCACGUCCGGCCUCUGCGUCAGGUGUCCCGCGGUCUCGCGACCGGGGGCGUUACAGUCGCGGAGUGCAGCGGCGUGACGGUCGACCGAGGAGACGAAGUGAUCGGUGGCGGCCCGCGCUUGUGGCUAGUGGCGGUGGACGGGCGUCGGGCGCACGCCAGCGGACUGCUUGCAGUGCGCAGGAGGUGCGACCGGGUCGUUGUCUGCUUGCUCUUUCAUACACGGGCCUCGGACGUUGGCGGUGAAAUGGUCUCAUCCGACCCGUCUUGAAACACGGACCAAGGAGUCUAACAUGUGUGCGAGUCGUGGGGUAGGAAACCUUGUGGCGCAAUGAAAGUGAUUGUGGAGACGAGAAGCUCUUCGUUGCUGCGGGGAGCCGCAUCGUCGGCCGACCUGACCUGUUUUCAGAAAGGU
rnacentral:rRNA from 1 species